CCUACGGGUGGGCAGCAGUGGGGAAUAUUGGACAAUGGGGGGAACCCUGAUCCAGCCAUGCCGCGUGUGUGAAGAAGGCCCUCGGGUUGUAAAGCACUUUCAGUGAGGAAGAACGCCUGGUGGUUAAUACCCAUCAGGAAAGACAUCACUCACAGAAGAAGCACCGGCUAACUCCGUGCCAGCAGCCGCGGUAAUACGGAGGGUGCGAGCGUUAAUCGGAAUUACUGGGCGUAAAGCGCGCGUAGGUGGCUUGAUAAGCCGGUUGUGAAAGCCCCGGGCUCAACCUGGGAACGGCAUCCGGAACUGACAAGCUAGAGUGCAGGAGAGGAAGGUAGAAUUCCCGGUGUAGCGGUGAAAUGCGUAGAGAUCGGGAGGAAUACCAGUGGCGAAGGCGGCCUUCUGGACUGACACUGACACUGAGGUGCGAAAGCGUGGGUAGCAAACAGGAUUAGAUACCCCGGUAGUC
rnacentral:rRNA from 1 species